rnacentral:lncRNA from 1 species
UUUUGUUUUGUUUUAAAAAAUGUGGUAAAAUAGACACCUUUUAAUUGGACCACAUUUUGUCUAUCUCGACGUAGGCCUCAGUGUCAUCAAGGAGACUCUGCUUGACAUGCAGUCAAGGCCAUGAUCCAUCUUCAGAGCUUCUCUUUCUUCCCCAAGGCUGGCGCUGAGAUGGGCAGGUGCUGCAGCAGCCCCGCUGGAAGCGAUGCAGCAUCCAGGACGACGGAGGAAGGGGCGGAGAGGGACCUCUGCUUUCCAGGCUGCCUUUUAUACUGCCUCUGGUCACCUGACAUGGAACGUACCCUAACCUAAUCAGUUACCUGUACCUUAAUUGCAAUUAACUUAAUCCAAUUACAUGACCUGGAAAGGUCUAUCUGCACAGCCCACUCUAAGAUCCUGUCCACUGCUGACAGACAUUCUAAAACCUACUUGUACAGCUGCAAGCUUUGAACAAUAGAUGUUCCCCGUCAGACAUGUAACACUGGUGCCUGUAUCCCUGUCUUCUUUUCCAUCUUUUUUGUUGUUUUGUUUUGUUUCGUUUUAAAAAAUGUGGUAAAAUAGACACCUUUUAAUUGGACCACAUUUUGUCUCUCUCGACGUAGGCCUCAGUGUCAUCAAGGAGACUCUCCUUGACAUGCAGUCACGGCCAUGAUCCAUCUUCAGAGCUUCUCUUUCUUCCCCAAGGAGGCGCUUGGAAACCACCGUGAAUUGGACCGCACUGGGAAACACAGAUGAGGAAAGUCAACAACGCUUUGUCCUUCAGUGCCUGCCUCCUUUUUCAGCUCGUCUUGCGACUCCCGGACGCCUGUGAGGCUGUAAUUCCCUGGGUCCCAUUGCCAUGUCUCUGGAUUUGCGAAGAUCCACCGCACCUUCUGUGGAACUCCCGUGUCGGUGAACUUUUGUGCCACGGCCCCUAAUUCUGCCCAUGGUCAUCCGCACCUGCACGACUUAGGGUCCAUGUUCCUUGGACGGGAAGAGACAGGCAGGAGUCGGAAUGAUGAACCAGCACACUGGGGCGUUUUCUCAUGUAGCCCAAGUGACCCCAUGGUCUUCUCGAGCUUUGGAACCAGUCGCGUCCCCUUUGACACUGCACCCGGCUCCCAGUCUCUCAAUCUUGUUGGCCCUCCGGCGAUCUCCCGUUGGAUGAAUUGCUCCUGCUGAAACUCCAGUCCCCUUUGAUUUGCGCUUCAUUAAUUAUUCAUGAUUCAGGUUGGAAGGCCUGCUGACGACCCCCUGUGGCCGUUCUCUGAGCUUUCCUGUCACAUCGUUUCCUUCCACGCUCUUUGGUUCCUUAUGGUCCUGCUCCCUCUGCUGU